CGUUCUACGCUCCAAAUAUUACCAAUAUAAAAAGUAGCUACGGAGACAUGACUACGGAAUCCGGAUAUUGUCAUCUAUAAUCUCGCCCGUCUUUCAUUAAGGGCGACACACGACACACGAAGCGAUACACGAUAUUUGAGAGCGUCAACAAGUUGGACUAGAGAAAAUCAAAUAUUGUAGAAUGCUCUCCUCCGUGCAAAAGCUGGGGAAUGUGAUCGUUUGCAAGAAUUUGAUGAAUGGUGCAGUUUAAGCCUUAAAUUAUGCAACAGAGGCCACAUUUGAAACUCAGCCAUACAAGCUGCACAAGUUGACAGAGGGUCCCAGCACCACGGUGAAAAUGACAAGGGCAGAGGGGCUGCAAUUCUACAAGGAAAUGGUCACCAUCCGAAAAAUGGAGACAGUCACCGCUAACCUGUACAUGUCUAAAGCAAUACGGGGAUUCUGUCAUCUGUA